GUAGGGAAUCUUCCACAAUGGACGAAAGUCUGAUGGAGCAACGCUGCGUGAGUGAAGAAGGGUUUCGGCUCGUAAAACUCUGUUGUUAAAGAAGAACAUAUCUGAGAGUAACUGUUCAGGUAUUGACGGUAUUUAACCAGAAAGCCACGGCUAACUACGUGCCAC
rnacentral:rRNA from 1 species